rnacentral:rRNA from 1 species
CCUGGCGGCCUUAGCGCGGUGCUCCCACCUGACCCCAUGCCGAACUCAGAAGUGAAACGCCGUAGCGCCGAUGGUAGUGUGGGGUCUCCCCAUGCGAGAGUAGGGAACUGCCAGGC